UCUGUAGAUACUCUCAAUUGGGCAGUUCAUCGCCACAUUUUCUACCGAGACGAUUCUGAUCUGCGCGGGAAGUUCAGUGCCAACCGAGACGUGGAGGAUGUUGACAAAAUGAUUGCUCAUGGUGAAGCAGAGUACGACAAGUGGCGGCACCCCUGAUCCUUAUUCCUUACGUCCGUAAACAUCUCGACCCUUAAAUGAACUGUGGUAGAUUUGAUAGCAAGAAAUGUUUGUUAGGUUUAUGGAAGUUCCUCUCUCAGGCUAGAGAUGAACAAGUGUUCAUUUCCUGAGUUUGACACUAACGACUCACUUUUUUCAUUUGGUAGUUCUAGGGGCGGCUCCUGGUAAGGAGCAGUUGCUCAAGUAAUAGCCAUCGAUGACAAUGAAGACAGUGUUUGUCAUCUGAGCAGUGAAGAGUCCAACUCUUCUUCAGAACCUGAGAGGGCAGAGACAGUCCCCAGAACCAGGAACACAGGUAAAGAGACGGUUGUGGAAGAUUCUGAUGAAUCGUUUAGCUCAGAGGCAGUUCUUAUUCUCUAGUCUCGGCGACGAAGACACACUCGCUUCUGUGACAAACUCCAGGAAGAAAGGAAAGUCCAAAUCAUCAACCAGUAGGAGUUCUGUUUCCGUGACGAGGAAGAAACGCAGUCUACAAUCCUAAAACCAGAGGCGUAUCUGGAUGAUCCGAUGAAUCUUUAUUUUGAGUUGCUUUAAAACUUUGAUUAAACCAGUUGUUGUUGCUCAAAAAAUAAAGAAGAUUAAACCAGUUAAUAUUUCCAGUAGAGAAAAACUACUGUUCUAUGUUGGCUGUCUCAAACUCGGCUUAAACAGAUUCGAAAA